rnacentral:rRNA from 1 species
GCCUACGGGAUGCAGCAGUGGGGAAUAUUGCACAAUGGGCGGAAGCCUGAUGCAGCAACGCCGCGUGCGGGAUGACGGCCUUCGGGUUGUAAGCCGCUUUCGCCUGUGACGAAGCGUGAGUGACGGUAAUGGGUAAAGAAGCACCGGCUAACUACGUGCCAGCAGCCGCGGUGAUACGUAGGGUGCGAGCGUUGUCCGGAUUUACUGGGCGUAAAGGGCUCGUAGGUGGUUGAUCGCGUCGGAAGUGUAAUCUUGGGGCUUGACCCUGAGCGUGCUUUCGGUACGGGUUGACUUGAGGAAGGUAGGUGAGAAUGGAAUUCCUGGUGGAGCGGUGGAAUGCGCAGAUAUCAGGAGGAACACCAGUGGCAAGGCGGUUCUCUGGGCCUUUCCUGACGCUGAGGAGCGAAAGCGUGGGGAGCGAACAGGAUUAGAUACCCUUGUAGUC